rnacentral:rRNA from 1 species
UACGUAGGGUGCGAGCGUUAAUCGGAAUUACUGGGCGUAAAGCGUGCGCAGGCGGUUUUGUAAGCCAGAUGUGAAAGCCCCGGGCUUAACCUGGGAAUGGCAUUUGGGACUGCAAGGCUUGAGUGCGGCAGAGGAGACUGGAAUUCCUGGUGUAGCAGUGGAAUGCGUAGAUAUCUGAAGGAACAUCAGUGGCGAAAGCGACUUCCUGGACCAAUACUGACGCUCAUGUGCGAAAGCGUGGGAGCAAGCAGG